CAUUGAAACUCCGGUUCACGUACGAUCACAGAAGUUAAGCAACGUCGAGCCUGGUCAGUACCUAGACGGGCGACCGCUUGGUGGUAUCAGGUGUUGUAGG